rnacentral:rRNA from 1 species
ACAGCUCAGUAACACGUAGUCAACCUAACCUAUGGACGGGAAUAACCUCGGGAAACUGAGAAUAAUGCCCGAUAGAACACUAUACCUGGAAUGGUUUGUGUUCCAAAUGAUUUAUCGCCAUAGGAUGGGACUGCGGCCUAUCAGUUUGUUGGUGAGGUAAUGGCCCACCAAGACUAUUACAGGUACGGGCUCUGAGAGGAGUAGCCCGGAGAUGGGUACUGAGACACGGACCCAGGCCCUAUGGGGCGCAGCAGGCGAGAAAACUUUGCAAUGUGCGAAAGCACGACAAGGUUAAUCCGAGUGAUUUGUGCUAAACGAAUCUUCUGUUAGUCCUAGAAACACUAACGAAUAAGGGGUGGGCAAGUUCUGGUGUCAGCCGCCGCGGUAAAACCAGCACCUCAAGUGGUCAGGAUGAUUAUUGGGCCUAAAGCAUCCGUAGCCGGCUCUGUAAGUUUUCGGUUAAAUCUGUACGCUUAACGUACAGGCUGCCGGGAAUACGGCAGAGCUAGGGAGCGGGAGAGGUAGACGGUACUCGGUAGGAAGUGGUAAAAUGCUUUGAUCUAUCGAUGACCACCUGUGGCGAAGGCGGUCUACCAGAACACGUCCGACGGUGAGGGAUGAAAGCUGGGGGAGCAAACCGGAUUAGAUACCCGGGUAGUCCCAGCUGUAAACUAUGCAAACUCAGUGGUGCAUUGGCUUGUGGCCAAUGCAGUGCUGCAGGGAAGCCGUUAAGUUUGCCGCCUGGGAAGUACGUACGCAAGUAUGAAACUUAAAGGAAUUGGCGGGGGAGCACCACAAGGGGUGAAGCCUGCGGUUCAAUUGGAAUCAACCGCCGG